AGCCCUCUGUAUCCGUGCUGAGAUUUCGUCAGAAAUCAACCCGUUGGGGUUGAUGGUACUUCCCAAAUAAGUGAAGCG
rfam:Trichobilharzia regenti genome assembly, scaffold: TRE_scaffold0004567